AAAGGCGUAGUCGAUGGGAAACAGGUUAAUAUUCCUGUACUUGGUGUUACUGCGAAGGGGGGACGGAGAAGGCUAUGUUAGCCGGGCGACGGUUGUCCCGGUUUAAGCAUGUAGGCGGAGAUUCCAGGUAAAUCCGGAGUCUUGUUAACGCUGAGGUGUGAUGACGAGGCACUACGGUGCUGAAGUAACAAAUGCCCUGCUUCCAGGAAAAGCCUCUAAGCAUCAGGUAACACGAAAUCGUACCCCAAACCGACACAGGUGGUCAGGUAGAGAAUACCAAGGCGCUUGAGAGAACUCGGGUGAAGGAACUAGGCAAAAUGGUGCCGUAACUUCGGGAGAAGGCACGCUGAUAUGUAGGUGAAGUGAUUUACUCAUGGAGCUGAAAUCAGUCGAAGAUACCAGCUGGCUGCAACUGUUUAUUAAAAACACAGCACUGUGCAAACACGAAAGUGGACGUAUACGGUGUGACGCCUGCCCGGUGCCGGAAGGUUAAUUGAUGGGGUUAUCCGUAAGGAGAAGCUCUUGAUCGAAGCCCCGGUAAACGGCGGCCGUAACUAUAACGGUCCUAAGGUAGCGAAAUUCCUUGUCGGGUAAGUUCCGACCUGCACGAAUGGCGUAAUGAUGGCCAGGCUGUCUCCACCCGAGACUCAGUGAAAUUGAACUCGCUGUGAAGAUGCAGUGUACCCGCGGCAAGACGGAAAGACCCCGUGAACCUUUACUAUAGCUUGACACUGAACACUGGUCCUUGAUGUGUAGGAUAGGUGGGAGGCUUUGAAGUGUGGACGCCAGUCUGCAUGGAGCCAACCUUGAAAUACCACCCUUUAAUGGCUGGUGUUCUAACGUAGACCCGUAAUCCGGGUUGCGGACAGUGUCUGGUGGGUAGUUUGACUGGGGCGGUCUCCUCCUAAAGAGUAACGGAGGAGCACGAAGGUUAGCUAAUCCUGGUCGGACAUCAGGAGGUUAGUGCAAAGGCAUAAGCUAGCUUGACUGCGAGAGUGACGGCUCGAGCAGGUGCGAAAGCAGGUCUUAGUGAUCCGGUGGUUCUGAAUGGAAGGGCCAUCGCUCAACGGAUAAAAGGUACUCCGGGGAUAACAGGCUGAUACCGCCCAAGAGUUCAUAUCGACGGCGGUGUUUGGCACCUCGAUGUCGGCUCAUCACAUCCUGGGGCUGAAGUAGGUCCCAAGGGUAUGGCUGUUCGCCAUUUAAAGUGGUACGCGAGCUGGGUUUAGAACGUCGUGAGACAGUUCGGUCCCUAUCUGCCGUGGGCGCUGGAGAAUUGAGGGGGGCUGCUCCUAGUACGAGAGGACCGGAGUGGACGCAUCACUGGUGUUCGGGUUGUCAUGCCAAUGGCAUUGCCCGGUAGCUAAAUGCGGAAGAGAUAAGUGCUGAAAGCAUCUAAGCACGAAACUUGCCCCGAGAUGAGUUCUCCCUGACCCUUUAAGGGUCCUGAAGGAACGUUGAAGACGACGACGUUGAUAGGUCGGGUGUGUAAGCGUAGCGAUACGUUGAGCUAACCGAUACUAAUGAACCGUGAGGCUUAACCUU
rnacentral:rRNA from 1 species